CCGACCCGGGGCCGCCGCGCAAGCGCCUCGCAACUGUGCCCUCGUCUGGGCUCCCGGCAGGACCCCAGCAGGCUGGCUCCCGGCUCGGGUACCACGCUGGCCCUCCACCCACCUGAGCUUCCUGGUGGGCUUCGGGGAACCUCCUCUAACUCCUUUGGGGCUGGAGGCGGGGUGUUGGUGGCAAAAUGCGCGAAGUGAGGUGCCAAGGUUUUGCCACCGAAGAUUGAAAAGCAGUGCUGCGCGCGCGGAGAUCCUUCCUGUCGGCCCGAGAGGAAGAGAAAGAGGUGACGUUGUCACUGGCUGAAAGGAACUGCACGUGGCUGCGGACAGACCUUGAAUCCACAGCCAUUGGCAUGGACCCAUAAACCCAAUCUGGGCAAUCAUGAUACUCCAUGAUUGUUUGGCAACAGUAAUUGGCUCAAAAGGUGACCGUGUGAUCCAAGCAGGGCCAAACUAUGUAACUUCUCUAGAACUGAAGUUUGGACAUUAGAAGAAAGAAGUUUUGUCCACUGCAGCCGCUAAAUAGAGAGACUGUCGAUUUGGGGCUACUGGUGGUCAUCUUUUCCACCACGUGGAGAGUCUGUGUACAGAGUGAAGUUUGUGUAGUAAAGGACUAACCUUACCCAAAGAAAGAUGUGGCCUUUGAAACCCUUUGCUCCUGGGAGAAGCUCUUUAAACCCCUGGCAAGUCCUACCUGACAAGAGUGUGUCUGUGUACCCUGGGGACUUGGGCCUCACCAGGUGGCCUAACAAUGUGAUGAUAAGAUGGAAACUGGGACACAGAGAGGGAGAAGACCAUGGGAAGGUGGAGGCAGAGAUUAGAGUGAUGCGUCUGCAAGCCAGAAAACCCAAGGAUUGUCAGCAGUGUCCAGCAGCUAGGGAGAGGCAAGGGAGGGUCCCGGCCUAGAGUUUUCAGGGAGAGCCUGGCCCGACCAACAUCUCCAUCUUGGACUUCUAGCUUCCACAACUGUGAGGCAAUAUACCUCAUUUUUUAAGGUUCCCUGGGUGGUUUUAUGGAGGUGCUCCUUACAAUCACAACAAGAACUGCAGGGUUGGACUAGUUACCACAUAAGCUCCAGUUAGAAUGUGUCUGUGAACCAUCAAGCAAGUGGCCCUGGGCCCAGUGAGUGCCCCAGGCACGCCUAGUCGAUAGCGGCACUAUCGAUAACAGGCUUUGACCAUCACAAAGCAGACUGAAAGGAAAAGGCCUCACUGAGGACGUAAUGUUUCAGCCCAUAUCUGAAGGAGGUGAGGGAGAGAGUGUGAAGUGUCUGAAAAACGAGCAUUCCUGGUGGAAGCACUUUCUAGAGUCUGGUCAGACAGUUCUCUUAGUUUUUCCAUAAACACGUACGGUCUUCAGUUAUUUCAGGGAACACAUUCCAGAAAAUAACACACUUAGGUUCUGUUGCCCAACGUGCGGAGCAGCUAUCACAAGACCCUGGACGAUGCGCGUUCGCUUUUUAACCUUCCAUUCACUCCUCAUCCCCAUGCAAUCUGGCUUCUGGACAUGUGAUGUUGCAACGUUUAAGACCGAAGCAACUAAGUAAAACCAGCUGUCUUCUAUUGAGCCCGACAUGGGGAGACGCGGAAAAAUCCAAAGAUUUUUCUCACCGAGAGAGAGACGUCUGAGUAAAGACCAAAGAGGUGAGAGAAACUGAAAAGAGAGUAAAACAGGAUUUAUGGAUUGCUGCACACUGCAUAUUCGUAUGUGUUAAAAAUGCAAUUAAAAGUAAUUCUUUAGGGGCACCUGGGUGGCGCAGGUGGUUAAACAUCUGACUCUUGGUUUUGACUCAGGUCAUUAUCUCACCAUUUGUGAGUUUGAGCCCCAUGACGGGCUCCGCACUGACAGCGCAGGGCCUGCUUGGGAUUCUUUCUUUGCCUCUCCCUCUGCCCCUCCCCUGCUCACUUGGACUCUCUCUUCUCUCUCUCUCUCACA